GUCCCGGGCGCCUGGGCCCUGGGUGCCAUCCGCCACUCCCGGUCCCAGGCUGGGGGGUGGCGGCCGAGGAGGAGAAAGACUGAUCCCACUCCGCCACCGGAGUCGCGGCUUUGUUCGCGGUUUUUGCGAAGUGUUAGAAACGUGGCCCUGAAAAGAAUGGCGUCCAUUUACAUAAUGCUUUGUUUGCAUUUUCAAGUUUAUUUUGGAAAACCCGCAGAAACACCACCUCCUGUCCUAGUGGCGCUUUAGUCACUGCAGCCUCUUCAGACAUUUAAAACAAUGGCGUCCCUCUUGUAGGCCGCAUUCACUCAGGGAUUACCGACCAGUGUUUUGGGGAGCUCCUGUGGCUUUCCCUACACGGCUUUCGCUGCGCACGGCUUUGCGGCCCUUGCCAAUCCGUGGUGCAGCUUUCGUGUUCUGCACUUUCCGGGGGUGGCCCCUGACGGGGCCGCCAUUUUGGAAAACCUUUCAUGCUGUUGGCGCAACUGCACAUUUUCCUUGCUGAAGGAGAGAAAGACGAAUUCUCUUAGGCCCAGGGAGAUGAAGUGAUUAAUUCAAACUCACACAGUGUCAAGAAUGGAAUCCAGACCACCUUAUUUCCUUAUUGAUCUGCACUGUCUUGUGGAUAGGUGAGUGAAUUCCAUACCACCCAUUUUAUAGAUGAAGCCAGUGAGAUAAUGGAACAUCUGACUAUAAAUAGUCACCGCCCUAUCCCUGGAGUCUCAUAUGACUCUUCUCCUCCCAACUUGAGUGCCUUCAGGUUGGUUAAGAUGAUCUCAGCCUCUCUGAUGGUUUCAGUCAACAUCUCUUCAUGGAUGAUGCCCAAAUCUCUUCCCAGACCAGAAUAUCCAACUGCUCAUAUGGACAACUUCACUAGAUUGUUUUGCGGAUGUGGCAAAAUGCAGCCUCUUGCUCUUCCUCACUUGCUCCUCAUCCGGUAUCCUGUCAUGUGGUGAGACAUGGUCUUGACACUGUAACAGAGAAUGUAACUCUGGAGCCAGCCUGCUGGGUCUUGAAUUCUGACUCAGCCACUUACUAUGUGACCUUGGGAGACCCUGCCUCCAGCCAGUGUUUUCUCUAAGCCUGUUCUCCUCUAAGGAUUUCCUGUUGAACAUUUUCAUCACCCCAAAAAGAAACUCUGGACAUCACUCCCUACUUCCCAGAUCCUGACAACCACUAAUCUACUUCCUGUUUUUAUGUAUUUGCUUAUUCUGGACAUUUCAUAUGAAUAGAAUCAUACAGAUGCCAGCCAUCUUUUGAGAGUGAGAAGCAGAGAAGUUAGCUGCUGAGGUGGGUGAGAGGCAAGGAGAAGGGACCUAUGAAGACAAGGCUGACUCCGAAAGACGGGAGGCAACAACAGCACCAGAACCAGCAGAGCUAAAAGAUGACCGUUGGGUCUCCCAUCCCCACUGGACACUCUGCAGGACUGGGGACAGCUCCAAGAUGUUACCCAGCCUGGCCAUCUGGGUGGCCAACACGAUUGCCCCAGCAUGCUGCCUGCAUCAGAGGGGUCACAACGAAGGAGCCAAGAGUGAGUGCAAGAGCAGGGGACACUGAUGGAUUUACAUUGGCGUAUUUACAUAAAGAAACAUCUGGAAAACAGAACUGCAUACUCUCAUCUGCUGCUCUCUGUUUAGGCUGUGUUUACCACUAGGAAGAUGGCCCCCAACGCUGGUGGUUAACAGCAACAUUCCCAGAGCACCAAUUCUAGAGACGGGGUAAAGGCAAGUUUGGUUCUCAGGUAAAGUGAAGAACACCCCCUUAACCCCCUAACCCCCCUAGAGAGAAUAGGAAAUCAAAAUUAAAAAUCUGGAUAAAUGUUAGAAUUGGGUGUCUUAUUGAUUCUCAUUUUAUGAUUUUUGAGAGGAGACAAAGAUACUCCAUUUCUUCAGUCAUUCAAUAGCUGACUGGUAGUGACAGGCAAUUAUUUCUCCUUUCAGAAGAAUAUAAGAGGAUCCCCCAUGUAAUAUUAAUGAAAAAAAAACAUGAUAAAUCACAUAUUAUACCCCUUCCCCCAACUCCCAGGUAUCUUCAAAAACAAAGAGAUCUGAUCAUGUAGAAUAAAUACCACCUCAUCUAAAAGGGCCUUUGGGUUGUCUUCUCUCAGAAAAGAUUUUGAAAAUCAUGAAUAGCCAGCUACCUAAACAUACUGCAUCUAAGAGUUAGACAUAGAAAAAUAUGUAGAUCACCAUGCAGAAAAUUGCCUUGUAGCCUUUGACUUCCUAGUGCUCAACACACAGGGCAGGUAAAGGGGAAGACAAAGAAACUUGGCAAAACAAGUAAAGACCAAGAUUUGGGGGAACAGAUAUAAAGCACAAUCAAUGAAAGUGAUAUUCUUACCAGUACAGUAUGGUAUAAAAACCCAAAUAAUAGUAUGUUGUAUAUACUUUGCAAAAAUAAGUUUUCUCUCUAAAGGAUGAAGAAAGGCAAGAAGAAAAAAGACCAAAAUCCAUUAGCAAGCCCCAAGGUAUUGCUAGACAGUCAUUUUGAACAUCACAGUCCAACCCAAUUUAUACUUUGUUUUCCCCACCCCCUAGGAUUUGCUCUCGGCCACUUCAGGGAUGAAGUAGAGAGGCCCACUGGGAGCCUAGCUACGUGUUAAAGUCACCUCUGUACCAGACCCUGUGGGAAGUACUAGGGACACAAGGUGAACACAAAGAACUGGGCCCCUCCCUAUAGAGUCUACAGUCUCAGGAUGGGGACAACCAAACAGUCACGUAAACCACCACUGGAUACCAGCUGUGACAAGUGCUGAGAGAGAGAGAUCCAGUAUUGGACCACUUGGCACAAGAAGAAGGCUCUAGGCUAGAGGAAGAAUCAUCCAGACCUUAGAAGACCAAAUUCCAAAAAAGAAAGGACAAUAAGGAAACUAGAUAAGUAACCCUUCAAUGAGCAGAAGUUGACUAGUCAUACAGAAGCAGUCUGAAUUAUAAGCUGCUUGCCCAGUGGUGACUUCAAGUCCAGUUUUCUAGACCCUUUGCCUCCACAGCCACCUGUAGAUACUUUAAUCUUAGAGCUCAGUAUAUUAAUUGAAACUGUGUCUUUCUCAUUGACAGACCAUUUCUCAAAGAUGGGGACCAUGCUGAUUUAAUACUCCAUACGAACUCUUUGAAUGCCCAAUGCUGAACACAAGUUCUUGGGCCACUGUAGGUAGAAAACAAACAUCUUUGAACUGCUAUAAUAAAUGAUAAAUUGACAUUCUGAGGCAUUCCUGCAGAGUUGACAGGUACAAAGCUAUAGUAAGCCUACGAGCCUUUAUGUGAAGGGAUGACAUUUUAGUAAUUAAAAUAAAUGCCUACCUAAGUAAAAUGUUAGAAGGGAGAAGGAGAAAUAGAAGAAUUUUCAGUAGAAAAACUUCCAGUUUGCCCAGUUCACCUCAAAGGCAGGAAGAUGGAAGAGAAUGUAAAGGUGAAAUACAGUAGCCACAUCUCACUCCCUUUCCACCUUAAGAGAUAUUUUUCAGUUUCUAGUUCAUGAUAUAUAAAUCCUUAAAGAAUAAAGGAAGCUCUGCCUUAAAACACGGCCAGUCACAAUCACAGAGAAAUUGAAAGGGAGGAAGGGAUGGGGGAGAAGCAUGUGUGCAGCGAGACCUCACUAUCCCUCACUAUCGCUCACUCUCACACAUACAGAAUUACACAGUCACACAGUGGAAUGAUUAAUUAAAUGCUUGCCCUGUCUCAAGAUGUACCUUCCUAGUAAGGGUCUGGUCUGCCCUUUUAUGAUGAAACAUGCUGUUCAGAUCCUGACUUUCAGAGUCAGGCUCCCCUGUCAAAGAGGGUAUGCUCAAUAUAACCGCAUGUAUUUACAGAGCCAUAUCACACGUCACCAUCAUGUUCAUGCAGGGCAUCAAGAAAGUCAAUUGGAAUAGGUUGCCCGUAUUUCAAAUUGAAGAGAGCUCUGAGAUCAGAGUGAUGACUGUUCAGUGAUUCUCAGCCCUGGAAGGACGUGACAAUAACCUGGGGAGCUUUAAAAAAAACAAAGAAACUGGUAUACCAUCUCAACCCAAACCAAUUAAAUCAGAAUUGCUAGGGGUGAGGUCUGGGUAUUGGUUUUGUUUUGUUUUUUUCCUUUUAAAGCUCCACAAAGAAUUGCCAUGAAUUUUUUUCAGUAUAAUAAAAGCAAGUGGUUAUGUAUUUUGUAAAAAGUCUCCUAAAGAUAGAUUUGCUUUAAAAUAUCCCAUGAGGAAGGGUGGUUUUAAUUAUACAAGAGUGGCAAAAUGUUGAUAAUUGUUGAAGCUGGGUGAUGGAUACAUAGGAGUUGAUUACGUUAUUCAUUCUAUUUUUGUAUGUCUGAAAAAUUCUGUAAUAAAAAGUG